UACGAAGGGGGCUAGCGUUGCUCGGAAUCACUGGGCGUAAAGGGUGCGUAGGCGGGUCUUAAGUCAGGGGUGAAAUCCUGGAGCUCAACUCCAGAACUGCCUUUGAUACUGAGGAUCUUGAGUUCGGGAGAGGUGAGUGGAACUGCGAGUGUAGAGGUGAAAUUCGUAGAUAUUCGCAAGAACACCAGUGGCGAAGGCGGCUCACUGGGACGGUACUGACGCUGAGACGCGAAAGCGUGGGGAGCAAACAGG
rnacentral:rRNA from 1 species